GCUUCUAGUAGGCCAAACUCCCAGGUGACCCCCGCAAGAAACGCGGUCCGGAGAGGGUCUGGCCCCACUGCUGGGGCAAGGGCUCUAGGCGCCCGGACCCCACGCCCGCAGCCUGCGGAGAACGUGCCGACAAGGACCUGUAGGGCCCCACUCCCCCUCCUCCCUCCCUCGGCGCAGCCCGGCCCAGGGGUCUGUCCUCCCAGGCCCAGGAAAGGAGGAAACCCACUUCCGCCGCGUCCAUGAUCUCCCGCGGCUUCUCCUGACUCUUGCGGCUGGCGCUGGCGCUGGGCAUCGGGACACGGAACUGGGCAGUGGACACCACCCUCCCUCGCAGGCUUCCGUAAGGCAGGCCAAAGGGGCUUCUCCCUCCCUCCCAGUCUCCGCCCUCCCGACCCUGGGGUCUCAGCACACGCGCUCGGACUCCGCGUGGAGGUGCGGCUCCAGAAAGAUCGCGAGAGCUGCGGCUAUCUCGAGAUCCCGGAGCGCUGGCGGCCGCGCGCAGGGUCUCCUCCCACUCUUGCCCCGCCCCUCCGGGAGUUUUCCCGGAGUUGGAGGGAAUUCCCGGGAAUUCGCGGUAGUUUCGCUGGAUUGGCUCUGGGGGCGGGGGCAGGGGUUACCAGGUGGCUGGCUGUAGACCUGGGCGAAUGCCAGCUCUCUUCAGCUUCGUCCCAACUGCGACUUCUGCUCCAUUCUUCUAACAGCCCUUUCAACUCCGCUCGGCUGUAACCGCAGACUCGUCACUAAAACACCCACCUAAGCGCGGGCCUUGGUUUCUCCUCUCUUGGACUUUCCCGCCUUCUCUCUUCCCCUGGGCGACGUAGCUGCUUGGGGACGGAGGAGGCCUCUUCGCAAUCCAUUGCCCUGCUUGUUGGGACAGAGGAGUGCAGUUGGCUUGCCAAGGCAGCAUGGGUUACCAGUCCCUGUAGUGUUCUUUCUUGGAACCAUCUGCCAAGCUGUGAGGAAGCUCCAGAGCCAUAUGACAAGACCUGAUGGAGGAUAACUGAGGACUUUGGCCAACAACCCCAGCUGAGCUCCAGUUGGAAUGUGAAUGAGGCCAUUUUGAGUGUUCCAGCCUAUUGGAGCCCUAGCCAACACUCUACAAACUAGAACUGCCUGAUUGACCCGCAGAAUCAUAAGAAAUGUAAACUGCUGUUUUAAGCCAGUACAUUGGGAGGUGGUUUGUUAUGCAGCAAUACCUGACUGAAACACUGGGGCUCCUUUGCUCAGCUUGGUUUUGAGGCCUUGCACCACGUUCACCUGCUCACCUCAUCACCCUCAAACCUCUGCAGGGAAAUACAACUUACUUUCUGGGUUUUCACAGUCAUUUUAGCUCAUGGACAAAGUGGUUCACUCAUCAGUGACUAUGAAAGUGGCCAAAUGAUGAUCACAAUACUAAUUAAGACUUUUUGAAUGCUUAUGAUGUGCCAGGCACUGUUUUAAGUGUAAUAUAUUUAUUCAUACAUUUAAUUUUUAGAACAACUUUUUGGCUGAGAAAGACAGGAUUCACUUCCAGUGCUUUCCAAAGCAGCAUUCUCUUUGUCUUAAGUCAGGGAAGGCCUUCAAAUUACUUUCAUUAGAAGAAGAUUUAAAGGAAUGUUUCUGUUUAGGGUUUUUCAGUCUAAACAAUUUUUAGAACAAUUUUUUGAGCUAGGCACUAUUAUUAUUUCCAUUUUAUGAUAAAACAACUAAGGCACAGAGAGGCAAAAUAACUUGUAAAACAGUAAGUGGGUCAAAUCACCAUCAGAACCCAAGCAUCGGCCCCCAGAGCCACAUGCUUAGCUACUGUGAUGUCCUGCCUCCCAUAAAUAAUAUCUCAAGCUUAUUUUUAUUUUUUUAAAAAACGUUUUUGAGUCAGGAUCUUGCUUUGUCACACAAGCUGGAGUGCAGUGGUAUGAUCAUGGAUCUCUGUAAACUUGAACUCCUGGGCUCAAAAGAUCCUCCUCCCUUGGCCUCCCAAAGUGCUGGGAUUAUACAGGUGAGCCACCAUGCCUGGCCCUACUUGAGUUAAGAAAAUCCUCUAAGGCUUUGAUUGCCUCGUUCAUUUAUUCUAGGUUCCAGGCUGUGUCCCAUGCUGGCAGUUACAUUUAGAAAACUCUAAUGUUAGAGAAGUCUGAAUUAACUAUUCCUACAUUCACAGUUCAGGGUAGGAUAGAGUGUUUGCUUGGUUUUCCCAGGUUUCUCAUCCCUGUGUGGCCACCGCAGAGGGCAGCAGAGUGACAGGCUGAGGGUGCAGAGGGGGCAGAGAAGCAGAACUGAUGGAGGGCCCAGGCAGGGCAGGGGUGGGCGGAGCUAUUUGCACAUCUCAGGAGUGAGAGCUAGGCGGGAGCUCAGCCCUAACUCUCACCAACCACCCACUGAUGGAGAGGGCAGCUUCUUCCAAUAGCAAGGGCUGUGGCUGCCAAAACUGUGCCAUUUGACUUGAAGCGGAGGAAAGUCUCCUUGCUUGCUAUGCAAUUGCAAUUGCAGCCUUAAGGCAAGCUCCCCACGGCCUUCAGAUCCCUCCCAGGCAGACAUCCUGGAGCUGUCACUGCAAAGCUUGUGAUUUUGCUUCAAGCAGCCCUUGAAGUUCUCCUGCUUCCUAUUUGCCUGAUAACUGCCCCAAGGACUCUGAAGGAACAUUUUAAAAGCUAAUUAUAAAAUUUAGUAGGCCUGCAUUCUUACAUUGUAUUAAGAGUGAGGCCUUUGGAGACAGCCCUGGGUCAGAGUUCCAUCUCUGCUGCUUAAUUGCUGUGUGGCUUUGGGAAAGCUGUUUUCUUCUCAGAUUCUCAAUGUUCUUGGCUGUAGAAUGGGUUAGUGAUAUUUACCCUGUGUGCUUGUUGUGAGCAAUAAGUAAUCCUAUAGUCAAAGCCCUUGGCCUCAUAUAUACCAGGCAACCAUCAGGGUAGCUAUUAAUUACAAACAUAGAAUAUAUUGUGGAUCUAUGAGACCAUUAACAUACCAUGCAGUCUUAGCAUGUAAGCAGCAAAGGGUAAAGCUGGUGUUUCAUGCUCUGCUGUACAAUGUUUGCAGAGGAAAAAAGACAAUCACCCUGAUCUAUUUUAGAAAAAUGCUAUAUUUUAAUCGCUUCUCUUUUUACUUUCUUAUUUUAGUUUUGUCCUUUAAAUGCUUUGGAGCAUUUAAUAGCUCUUCUGCUUUCAACUUCUAUAAAUUCACAACUUCUAUAAAUUUAAAAAGUGUCUAAAUCUUGAUUAAAUGCUCUUAAUCUGAGGCUUAUGGGUUUCCAGGGGUCUGUGAACUUUUUGAAAUUGCAUGCAACAUUGUUUGUGUCUACACAUAUGUGCAUUUUUGAGGGGAAAUGAUUCAUAAUUGUCAACAGACUCUCAAAGGAUUCUGUAGUUGGACAAAAGAUAUAGAAGAGUCCUUGGACAAAAGACUGAAAAACCCUAAACAGAAACAUUCUUUUAAAUCUUCUUCUACAGAAAGUAAUUUGAAGGCCUUCCCUGACUUAAAGUGGAUGCUGCUUUGGAAAGCACUGGAAAAAUGGAUCCUGUCUUUCUUAGCCAAGGACUGGUCUCUUUUCUCCAAUGUGUCCCUAACAGAGUGGUGAGGCUGGCUCUUCCCACCAGUACAGGUAAUGUGGUAAAGAUAGGACCACGUGGACGAAGAGGUAUUACCUUCUCUAAUUACAGCUAACAAAGACCUAGGCCUAACCUCAACUGCACCUUCUGUCUCUGGGAAGUCACUUAUAGAGUAGACCUAUAAUUAGGAUUUGGUACCGGAAACAUAAUUCUCAGGAUGGUGAAUCUCUAAAUUAUGUCCCCAGAGACAUACCUGAGACAAAACCCUAAGGGCUGUUGGCCGUAAGAGGGUGUGUGUGGUAUUCUACAUUCAGUAGGGAUUUAUAAAUGAGGAUGAUAUCACUCAGAAGGGGCAGGUGUCCAAGAGGCCCUUUUGACUUCUGCAAUGGGGCCUGACAGCCCCGUGAACUGAGCUCCAUAAUUUAUGCCUCCGGCAUAGAAUCUGUGCAAAGCAGGAAUGGCCGUAUCAGCAUUUGGGGAUUUAAAGCAGCUUUUUUUUUUUUUUUUUUGAGAUGAAGUUUUGCUCUUGUUGCCCAGGCUGGAGUGCAAUGACACAAUCUCAGCUCACUACUACCUCCACCUCCCGGGUUCAAGCGAUUCUCCUGCCUCAGCCUCCUGAGUAGCUGGGAUUACAGGCAUGCGCCACCACGCCCAGCUAAUUUUGUAUUUUUAGUGGAGGCUGGUUUCUCCAUGUUGGUCAGGCUGGUCUCAAACUCCCAACUUCAGGUGAUCCACCCUCUUCGGCCUCCCAAAGUGCUGGGAUUACAGGCGUGAGCCACCAUGCCUGGCUAAAGCAGCUUUUUUUAUCCACAGACCUCUUUCCCAAAUUGUAAGGAGGAUUCAGCUCAUUGAUUUCACUUUAUUUUAAAAGAAAAUAAUUAUUGAUGUGUAAAGUAAAUGAAAACACAGUCAAGUGGGAGUGUAAUUGAAAGUAAUUUAAGAGUUCAAUGGUUGAUGACUUUUUUCAAUUAUGAUAUCUCUUUAUUAAUAGGAAAUUCAUAAAUUAAGGAGUAUGCAAUAUAAUCAUUGUGGAAUAUAUUAGGGAAACAUUUUUGAUCCAUGCAAGUAAAUUGAGAUAGACUGGGUGCACCUGUUCCUAGUCAUGCCCAGGGAAUAUGUGAAACUCUGGCUCAGGAUGAACGUCUGUUGGUGUCAGCACAACAAUAAUGAAACAAAGUUGGCAGUAGGGUGGGGAAGUGUUUGGUGGGUGGGAGCCACCAUCUGCAGCCAGCUCCCAGCACGGCUGUGUGUUCGGAUACCCAUCAACCAGGAAAGGGAGUCUAAGGCCUCCAGAUGAUUUUCCCCUUUCACAAAACUGUUGUAAAAUGAAAUACAAAUCCUUCCUGAAUGUUCCUAGCUUUUCUUCCUUUCGGAAGUUUUCAGUCAAUGGGAAACAAAGCCUUAUUCAAAGGAUUAAAGCCAUAGUCAUUCUAUUGUUUGGGGCUUCAAUAAUGUGGCUUUCCUUCCACAGACAGAAUUUUCAAUUCACAAAUCAUCUGAAAAACAGGAAAUUUUGGAGAAACAUGCUUAUGAUAACAAACAAGGGAUCUAUCGUGUGGUAUAGAAGUUUACACAAAGAGGCAUCUGAUUUUAAGUUUUUGUUUUUUUUUUUUUUUUUUUUUUUACCGUUCUGGGCUUCUGGCUGCAUUCUAGGAAGAUCAUUCCUUAAAAGAAAUAGCCAUAUGGCUUAUAAGGUAAGACUACUCAGUUCCCAUCCCAACCCCCAGAAGAGAAUGGAGGAAGGGAAGCAGACUCUGGCUAUAUUUUUAUGGCUGCACUCCAGGCAGUACUGCAGAGGCAACAGGCAGGCUCUGAAAUGCCUUCUUCCCCCUGCUAUCCUCAGGCCUGUGUUUCUCUCUUACUCCACCCAAGUCCUGGGCCCUUACAUGGCAGAGGGAGGGAGAAGGGCCAGCAACAUUGGUUAACAGGAAUAGAGAAUGUUCGAGGAAGGCAGUGGCAGGCAAUAGCCAUAGAGAGUCACAGAAGGUUAAAGAGGUUGUGGAAACAGUCAUUUGUUUUUCAAGCAGUUCCGGUGGGGUUUGAGAAAGCAGCAGCACUCAACUGUGAGCAGACAAACUCACUUUGGAAACCUAUGCAGCCACUUCUAAGUAAACUACCAAGAGAAUUAUUAUUUUAUUUAGGUUCCUCAUUUCAGUGACAAUCUUUUAAUCCUUUGAACUGUAUGCUGAAAAGGACAUUAUAGAUCCUCCUGAAAGAUAAUUUUUAGUGUCCACGGUUCCCUCAAUAUGAUGAUUUUUUUCCUUGGUCCCUAUCUUUCACCAUUCCCUUUACCUUUUAUCCAUGCUUUUCCCUGAUUGAAGGAAGACAGAGUCUAUUUGCUUCCUAGCAUCUUCUUCUAUGGCUCUUGCUACUGAAAGUGUGAUCUAGAUUCCAGCAGCAGAACAGCAGCAUUUUGCUUCUGAGAAGUGCAGAAUCUCAGGCACCAUCCUAUGACUACUGAAUCAGAAUCAGCAUUUUAACAAGAUCCUUGGUGAUUUGCAUGCAUGUUAGUUUGGGAAGGGCUGAUCUGUACAGAUCUGCCCUAUAGGCCUGACUCAUAACCCACACUCCCCAAAACCUGCAAGAUCCUACAUUUCUGGCCCUGUAUACUUCUCUAGUCUCAUCCCAUGUCACUCUACCUCUCAUUCACUAGUUCCAGCCCCACUAGUCUUUCUCGUUCUGGCCUCCAAGCCUUUGUACUUGCUGUUCUCUCUGCCUGGAGUGCUCUUGUCCCAUCUAGUAUGGCUGACUCUUUUAUUUCAGCUUAACUGUUACUUCUGGCUGUGAGCGGUGGCUCACACUUGCAAUCCCAGCACUUUGGGAGGCCGAGGUGGGCAGAUCACUUGAGCCCAGGAGUUUGAGACCAGCCUGGGCAACAUGGCAAAACCCCAUCUCUACAGAAAAUACAAAAAUUAGUCAGGUGUGGUGGCACACACCUGUGGUCCCAGCUGCUCAGGAGGCUUGAGCCUGGAAGGCUGAGGUUGCAGUGAGCCAAAAUUACACCACUGUACUCCAGCCUGGGCAACAGAGCAAGACCCUGUCUCAAAAAAAAAAAAAAAUUUACUUCCUUUGAGGAUGCUUUCCUGACCCCUCUAUAUGAAGAACUACCUCCAACCCAGCUACUCUCUAUUCCAUUACCCUGUUUUAUAUUUUUAUGGCACUUACUGUUAUCUGAAGUAAUUUUAUUCAUUCAUUUUUGGGUCUAUUUUAUUCAGGAUUGUGUGUCCAGUGUUCAGAAGAGUGCCUGGCACAUCAAAAGUGCUGAGUUAAUGUUUAUUGGGUAAAUGAAUACAGUUUUGGGAAUCAUGAACAUUGAGAACCUAGGCCCAGACAAUUCUAAGGUAAAAUAUGUCACCCUCUGAACCAACCCGACAGCUUUCAGCUGAUUGACCUAAGACCAGUGCUUUUGGGUGCCCGGAUGAGCAUAUCAAAGCCUGGUCCCCUGAGCAGUUGCAUCAAUAUCUCCUAGGAACUUGAUAGAAAGGCAAAUUCUUGGGCCUUACCACAGACCUACUGAAUCAGAAAUCUUGGCAAUAGGGUUCACCAUUCUAUGUUUUAAGGAGCCUGCCAGGUAAUUCUGAUGCACUGCCCCACACAAUACCAACAUCUUACCAGUGUGGAGAACCCACAGUGUUCAAAGCUCUCUUACAUAUAUCGCUGUUGUUCUGGACUUCAUAAAAGCCCUGAGAAUAGGCAUGGCAGGUGUCAUUAUUUCCCCUUUACAGAUGAAGAAAUUGAGCCCUAGGAAAUUAUUCCAUUUGUGUUGGUAAUACUUGCUUUAUCAGAAUCACUUGGAACGCUUGUUAAAAUUGCAGAUACCUGGGCUCUACCCUAGACCUACUGAAUCAGAAUCAUUGGGGCUGGGGCUCUGGAAUCUAGAUGAAAAAAAAAAGAAGCUCCUAGGACAUUCUAAAGCUAAAAGUUUGAGAACCAAUUGCAACAGGAAACAGUGGAAUAGAUAUCAGAGCUUAUAGCCCCUCAUUCCUAAGGCAUGCUCUUAGAGAGUCUUGAGAAGAGUAAGUAAUGAUAAAGAAUGAUAUUGAUCUUUAGUAUCUUUUAGUGAAAAUAGUUAAAACAAACUGGCAGUAAUUCUUUCACCUUUAUUAGACCCUAACCCUACUUGCUACUGUUGUAAACCAGGGAGAAUCAAACUCCAUGACAAUGGACUGUUUCUUUGUAUAUAAUUUAGUUGUGUAUAGAACCAACUAACUGGACAUCAACUAAGGGGUGGCAGGUUUUCCUGAUUAGUUUGUGAUACAGGAAUUUUUAUUUAUUAUUAAAAAAAAUUUUUUUUUGAGACAGAGCCUCACUCUGUUGCCCAGGCUGGAGUGCGAUGGCACCAUCUUGGCUCACUGCAUCCUCACCCACUGGGGGCGAUCUUCCCACCUCAGCCUCCUGAGUAGCUAGAACUACAGGAGUGCACCACCACACCCGGCUAAUUUUUUUUUUUUUUUUUGAGAUGGAGUCUCACUCUUGUCACCCAGGCUGCAGUGCAAUGGUGCGAUCUCGGCUCACUGCGACCUCUGCCUCCCGGGUUCAAGUGAUUCUUCUGCCUCAGCCUCCCAAGUAGCUGGGAUUACAGGUACGUGCCACCAUGCCAGGCUAAUUUUUGUAUUUUUAGUAGAGAUGGGAUUUCACCAUGUUGGCCAGGCUUGUCUCAAACUCCUGACCUCAGGUGAUCCACCUGCCUCAGCCUCCCAAAGUGCUGGGAUUAUGGGUGCGAGCCACCAUGCCCAGUCCUGGCUAAUUUUUAAAAAACAUUUUUUUGUAGAGACUGAGUCUUGCUACGUUGCCCAGGCUGGUCUCAAACUCCUGGGCUCAAGGGGUCCACUUGCCUUGGCCUCCCAAAGUGCUGGAAUUACAGGCAUGAGCCACUGUGCCCGGCCUAAAAACAGUAACUUUUAAAAAUACUUCUCCAAAUGGGCAAGUAACUCCCAAAUCUCUUCUCCUGCCCCAGCUUCCCUGGCUCCAGGCCCAUACAUUGAACUGCAUAUGGAACAGUUCUCUUCUAGAUGACCUGCGGGCAUCUUCAUCUUAGUAUGUCCAAAUUCAUUACUUUCUUUCCCACCCCAUCCAUUCUUCUUCCUGGCUACACUCUAUCAGCGAAUGACUACAUAUAUCACCCACUGUGUCAUCUUAGCCAGGAAUCCAGGCAGUUUCUGGAUUCCUUCCAUCCUGUCUCUGGAUAGCUAACCAGUCAUUUCAUUGUACUCCUUAGAUUGCUCUCAAAUCACCACCCCUUCCUUCAUCUCUACUCAACUCCAGUUCAAGCCCUCAUCAUCUCUUGCUUGGGUUGUCAUGAUGGCUUCCAAAAUGGUCCCUUUGUCGGUGCUUCUAGUUGACCUCAUUUCUCCUCUUCCUUCCUUUUGGCUCUAUGCUUCAGUGCUGUCAAAUUGCUUUCACUUUUUUAAAAAAGAGUUUUCCAUUUUAAUUUCUGAGACACAUGACACAUCUUUGUCAAUGUUAGGUCUGGGAAAGUUUCUAUUAACUUCACAAGACAGAAAGGACCCUUCUCUCCAGCAGUGAAAAAUUCAAAAGAAGAGAGCUUCAGGGAGUUCAGUUGCUACCCAGCAGAAGCUUCAAUUUCUAACAAAACUGUGAAGUUUCAAAUAAUGAAGGGGAACUUCACCCCAAGAUGGUACUCACUUAGGAACAUUAUUUUCCUUCAGCUUUCCCUUGAAAUAUUCAACAGCUUUUUUUUUUUUCGAGACAGGGUCUUGCUCUGUUGCCCAGGCUGGAGGGCAGUGGCAUGAUCUUGGCUCACUGCAACCUCUGCCUCCCAGGUUCAAGCGAUUCUCCUGCCUCAGCCUCCCUAGUAGCUGGGACUACAGGCAUGCACCACCACGCAUGGCUAAUUUUUGUAUUUUUAGUAGAGACAGAGUUUCACCAUGUUAGCCAGGCUGGUCUCGAACUCCUGACCUCAGGUGAUCUGCCUGUCUGGGCCUCUCAAAGUGCUGGGAUUACAGGUGUGAGCCACCGCGCCUGGCCUCAACAACUUUCUUCUCCCCAUUAGGAUUACCUCCAUUGUGGGCUCUUUUCGAGGGAGGAGGCACUGCAUUCUCACUCCCAGUCUAAAGCUGCUUUCCCUUCUCGGUGAUGUUUUCUGCUUCCAUGCCUUUGUACAUGCUGUGUCUGUUCUAUUGAUUUUCCUUUUCCCAUCUCCUGUGUAUGGCAAACUCCCACUUGUUUUUCAUGAUUCUGCUCAAGUGUUCUUUCCUGUAUGAAGCCCAAGCUGUCCACUUGGAGAGACAUCUGGCCAGCCCCCCGUUGUUCCAGCCAUCCCCAGUUCAGGCAUCAGACAUGUGGUGAAGAAGCCAUCCUAGAUGCCCAGCCCCAGCUACCAUCUGAUGCAACCACACUGCUCACCCCGAGCAAGAACUGCCUGCAGGAGCCUAGUAUUAUCCUCUCUCACAGAACCAUGGCAGGGAAUAAUAAAUUGUUGUUUGAAGCCACUCUGUUUUGUGGUGGUUUGUUAGGCGGCAAUAGGAAACUAGAACACCAUAGCUUUUUUUUUUUUUUUUUUUUUUAGAAAAUAACUUGAUAUUCAUAAGCACAGCUUUUUAAGCUGCUUUUAUUAUUUUUCCCUUUAUACGAGUGCAUUCUGCAACAUAAGGAGAUUUCUAUCUCAGCCCUGAACAAGAUUUAUGAUCUUGAUCAAGUCUCUUUAUAAUAAUGUCACAGAACUUUACUUGCUUCAAUUCUAAUAUGAAGGAUUGAACUAGUUAAUCACUAAGGUCCACUCUAGUUCCAAAAUUGUGGCAUUCUCUUCUAACUAUCAGGGAAAAAUUGACUUAUUCUUUGUUAAGUUGUAGCUUGCAGUAAAGUUUUUUGGGCAUGAGAAUUUUCAGCAAGGUGGUGAGUGCCAGGAAAGUGCUGACUCAGCACAAUGCUGUCUGUUAGCCAGGAACAAAAAUGAGGAGCAACCAUAAAUUUAAUCCUUUAGCUCCUUCUCCCUGCAAAAUUCAGAAGAUGUUUUAUCUGUAACAAAAGACUUGAAAGAGGAUUCUCACUUUUUCCCUUAAAAGUUGUUACUCAAGUCUGUAGGUAACUUCAGGAUUUUUGACAGAAGAUUCAGAUUUGCAUAGUUGACUCAGUCUCCGGAAGAUCCCUACACUCAAAUUCUAAGUUUAGGGCAAGUGAACUGAGUGAUUCCUAGAGGAAAUAAACUCUCGCCUGAGAACAACAGCUGAAAUAAAAUCCCAUAAGCCAGGAAAACAGCCACACAAUUACAGUAACAGGUGGUCAGUUUCAAAACAAAUUUCAAGGUCUGACUCGCCUGGCACCUGCUCUAGAACCACAGACAGCAGUUUGACACUGUCUGGGUCCAAGUUAGGUCAUCCCUGCCACACCAUAAGGAAGAUUAACUACCUUUAUUAGCAGAGCUAAGUCAUGGUAGGUUAGAGGACUGCUUCUCUGUGGUAGUAACCCCUGUGUUCCCUGUCUGAGAAGAGGGAAUAAGAGAGAAUUUGGGAACUGGACAGGACCUUGCAGAUUAACCAUUAGGUUGGUGCAGAAGUAAUUGCAGUUUUUGUCCUUAAAAGUAAUGGCAAAGUGAAGCCGAGGGGAGCUAAGCAGAGAUUUGCUCAGAAUCACAUGACCUGUAGAAGCAGAACAUCCCCACCCCCAUUUUAUUGUGAAAAAAUUCAAACACACAGCAAAGUUGAAAGGAUUUUUACAAGACACAGCUGUAUAUGCAUUUCCUGGAUUCUACUGUUAAUAUUUUAUUAAACUUGUUUAUUUUCUAACUAUCCCUCUAUCCAUCCUUCUAUCACCUUAUUUCCUGGAUGCCUUUCGAAGUGAAUUGCAGACAUCUGUACUCCUUCCCCUAAAGCAGCAUAGUGUUUUAUCAUCAUUUAAUAAUUUAAUACCUCAAUUUUGUAUACAUUAUGGAACCAGGAAACAUUAUAAGAAAUCACUGGACCCCAAAAAUGUUAAUUAGCCUUGGCUAGCCUGAAAGAGAACACAAUUUCCUAAGGUCCUAACUUUAAGGCACUUGAGGAUUCUUACUAAGGGCAAAUUCCUGAGAUGACAGAAAUACUAGUCAACACACAUCAAUGCCUAUGUUUUUCCCUCCUCCUGGAAUCCUGUGCUUUCCCCUUCCUGCUCCACCUGUUGAAAUCCUCUCUUCAUUCGUCCAAGAAUGAUCUCAGAUGUCUGCAAGGAACAUAAACCACUGUUACACACGUAUUGUUUUAAGGAAAAAAGUUACUGAAGAAGUCUGAACUGUCACCUCCUUCCCAAUCCCUUUCCUAAACCCCGAGUUUUAACUUUUCUCAUUUUAAUGCCCAUAAACUUUCAUUGCUAUUUUUCCUCCCUCAUUCUACCUUGUUGCAGUUUAGUGUUUAUUUGUUUGUUUAUCACGACUACUGCUCCUCCUCCUAAUAAUACUUAUGGUUAAUUUCUUUUUAAGGGACUAUAUCUUAAGACUAUGUGUCUUCUGCAGUUCUUUGCAUAGAGUCAACGUUGAAGGACAAGCAACUUCAAAUUUCCAAGCAACAAAAUUAUGUUCGGGUGGUUUUCUGAAAGCGAGAUCUUAAGAACCACCUGUAUCAGAAUCCCAUGAAGAGCUUGUUUAGUGUGCAAAUUUACAGAUUGUCCCCCCUCAGAAAUGCUCAUUUAGGAGUUCCUGUCCUUUGCGGGGACAUGGAUGAAGCUGGAAACCAUCAUUCUCAGCAAACUAACACAGGAACAGAAAACCAAACACUGCAUGUUCUCACUCAAAAGUGGGAGUUGAACAAUGAGAACACAUGGACACAGGGAGGGGAACGUCACACACCAGGGCCUGUCGGGGGUGGGAGGUAAGGGGAGGGAGAGGAUUAGGACAAAUACCUAAUGCAUGUGGGGCUUAAAACCUAGAUGAUGGGUUGAUAGGUGCAGCAAACCACCAUGGACAUGUAUACCUAUGUAACAAACUUGCAUGUUCAGUACAUGUAUCCCAGAACUUAAAGUAAAAUAUAAAACAAUAAUAAAAAGGAAAUGCUCAUUCAGGAGUUUUGGGGUGGGGGUUCAGGAGGCUGCAGCCUUAACAAUUACCUCUGGUGAUUUUGACACAGGUAGCACAGCAGCCAAACUUGGAGAGAUUUGUUCACAGCACUGCAUCACCAACCUUACUUUCUGUUAGGCCUUUAAUCACUUUUUUUUUUUUUUUUUUUUUUUUUUUCUGAGACAGGGUCUUGCUCUAUCACCCAGGCUGGAGUACAGUGGCACGAUCUUGGCUCACUGCAAUCUCUGUAUCCUGGGUUCAAGCAAUCCUCUCUGCCUUGGCCUCCUGAGUAGCUGGGACCACAGACAUGCUCCAUUAUGCCCAACUAAUUAAAAACAUUUUUUUUAGAGGCAGGCUGGUCUCGAACUCCUGAGCUCAAGCAAUCUGCCUGCCUCGGCCUCCCAAAGUGCUGGGAUUACAGGUGUGAGCCACUGCGCCCGGCCUUUUAAUCACUUUUAAACCAGCAACCCUAAUCUGCCUGUCCCUUGAAUGGAUCCGGAUAAAGGUGUGGCAAACAAGCCUCCUGUCACAGUGGGGUGUGACAGUCACGGCAUCACCCCUUCACCACAUCAUGUGCUGCCAGUCAUCACUUCUGCUGUUGCCACCAACCCUUGCGUUUCCCUUUGUCACUUCCCCCUUGCCACCACCAACGGCCACUGUCCCUCUGCUCCUCACCCUCCAUAGCUGAGUCAGAUCCAGCAUUGGGCACUUGAGGAAGAAGCCACUGUGGAAGGCGGGAUGAGGGUGUUCCCAUUCUACAUUCACAAGCCCACAGCUUGGAGAAGAAGCACACCUAAUUCUGACCCUGGCUUCUGAAGAAGCUCUGCAAACCUGGCUAGAAAGUUGGGCCUGUGGUUUGAGGUUCCUGCUGCCUUUGAUUUUACAAUGAGUGGAAAUUGAGGUUGAGUAACAGGUCUCUUGCCCAAGUAUUAAGGGCCACCACGAAGCAUACAGCAAUGAAGGCAGGAGCUGAUGACAUGUGGUUGGUUCCCCCCUCUAGGCCAAGUAUCUUUGUAUAGGGAAGGCCGACAUGGCCAUCUUCACGGUUUGGUAUUAGUGGAGUGUCUUAUACAUACUGAAAUUUGUUUUUGUUUUCAGGUGCUAAAAGGAUAAUACCAAGGAAAACUAUGGGUGGGGGCAGUGAAUGGCCAGCAUGCCUAUAAUCCCAGCACUUGAAGCCAGGAGUUCGAGACCAGCCUGGGAAACAAAGCAAGACCCUGUGUCUAAAAAAAUUUUUUUAAAAAUAAGCUGGGCAUGGUGGCACGUGCCUAUAGUCCCAGCUACUCAGCUACUCGGGAGACCAAGGUGGGUGGAUAGCUUGAGCCUAGGAAUUUGGGGCUGCAGUGAGCUAUGAUUGCACCACUGCGCUCCAGCGUGAGUGACAGAGUGAGAUCCUGUCUCUUUAAAAGAAAAAACUAUGAUUCAAAGUGUUGUUUUAUGAAGCAUAACCUGCUUUAUGUUUUGAGUUUAAUAUAACUUGAAAUCAGUUUCUCUAAGACAGUGCCAGCCUUGCCAUUUUUCAGUUCAACAUAGAUUUCUCUAUUACAGUGGUUCCCAAACUUUAGGAGGCAUCAAAGUCAUCUGGAGGGCACAAAAACACAAAUUUAUGGAUGUCACCCACAGUUCCUAAUUCUCUCUCUCUCUCUCUUUUUUUUUUGAGAUGGAGUCUUGCUCUGUUGCCCAGGCUGGAGCACAGUGGUGUGAUUUCGGCUCACUUCAACCUCCGCCUCCUGGGUUCAAGUGCUUCUCCUGCCUCAGCCUCCCGAGUAGCUGGGAUUACAGGCUUGCGCCACCACACCAGGCUAAUUUUUGUAUUUUAGUAGAUAUGGGGUUUCAUCAUGUUGUUCAGGUUGGUCUUGAACCCCUGACCUCAAGUGAUCCACCCACCUCGGCCUCCCAAAGCCCUGGGAUUACAGGCGUGAGCCACCAUGCCUGGCCUGUUUCUGAUUCUCUAGGUCUGGAAAGGGGCCCAAUAAUUUUCACUUCUAACAAGUGGCAGGAUGCUGCUGCUGCUGCUGGUCCAGGGACCACACUUUGAGAAGUAUGGUACUGUGUGGUACUUACCGGACCAUUUACCAUACUUCCUGCCUGCCUAAUUGUGUCACAAUAUAGCCGUGCUUCUCAGGCCUAGCAAUUCAUUAGAAUUACCUGUGAAGCUUUUAAAAUGUAAGGUUUGGAUGGAAUGCUCAGACCCUACCUUAGACCCAAUUAAGCCCACAGCUUUGAGGGUGAGGCUUGGGUAUUGUUCAGAAAGAUCCCCAGGUGAUUCUAAUGGAUACCGAGGGUUGAGAACCACAGGCAUAUAGCAAACUCUGGCCCUAUUCUACCUUAACAUAUGAUUCUCAUUUGACAAAUACAUAUUGACCACCUAAUAUAUGUCUUGAAAAUGAUAAAGUAUGUAAGAAAUGGUCCCUGACCUCAAGCAGAGAUACAUCAUAUGCCCAAAUAUUUAAACAAAAAGCUGGUGUGUGGGGUUUGUGCCAAUUAGAGGACUAAACCAUUACUGAAAACAGAAGGCUGGAUGAUUCAGGGUAAAUCAAUGCUGCACUUGAUCCUCACAUUGUUUGAGAUAAGUUAUGUAUGCCUCUGCUGCACAUGAAACGUAUCCCUUUGGUGGGGGAAAUUGCUCAUUUAUUGGUUCGUUGAGGAUGUUCCAACUGAUUCACCAUGGUAGGUGUGAUUGAACCAUGGAAAUGAUGGAACAUUAAAUCAAUAGCUAGUCAGCUGGUGACUAUUCCUUGGCUAAGUAUGCUAUUAAGGUUCUGUUUCAGAAGUCCCUGUGCUCAAUGGAGGUGAACCUUUCCAGUGGAGAAAUACAACAUGAAUUAUGUUUAGAAAAUGCUUCAAUCUGGGGUUUUAAAUAAACAGUCCUUAAAUAUGUAUAAAAAUCUGAAAUUAUUUUAGAAUCGAAGGGAAAAAACAACCGGGUCCAAAAACCAAACCAUAUUUAGCUUAAAAACACGUUCUUAUUUGCAUCCACUAGAAUACAAUAUAAUUUAAUGAUUCAAUGACAGCUGGCCCAUGAAGGGCAGAGUUUCUAGAAAGGAGGAAAUACCCUCUUUGGGUGUUACUUAGGUAUUAAGUGUAUUAUUUAAUUCAUUGUUUUAUUUAAUUUGGUUAUAUCUUUUUUUUUUGAGAUUUUGUUUUCAUGUUGGGUGGGUAGUUUUUCUAAGAAUAAGAAAUCCCAAUGACAACAAAAUGUCAUUGUUUUUAAGAGAAGGAGAUAAAUACAUUUUAAACUGUUAUAUUUAUUUAUUUUCAAAAAAUGCUGGAGGCAUCAUGUUAGCAAUUGCAGGGGAUAACAUGAAUAUGACAAAGCUGCUCUCAAAAAACUUACCACUUUGUAGAAGGGAAAGCUAAGUGCCUAUUCCAAGCAAAAUAUGAUAUGAUACAUGCCUUUAGAGAGGAGUAAAUUUUAAUGAGGCUUCAAAGAGCUGGAAGAAGAGGUCAAGGUUCAAAGAGCCUAAGAUAAGGCACAGAACUGGGGUUCUGGUACAAUGCAUUACAGCAUGGCCAAUUUUCAAAGGCCAGCUGUUCCCAGUCAAACGAAGAUGAAGCUGAGGGCAGGUGCAAUCAAUGGGAAAAUCAGGCCACCCUCUCCUAUUUUCCCAUAGAUGCAGUUUCAUGAUCAAUAGUUUUAUAAUCUCAUUUUGGGUAGCAAAAUGAAAAUGAAUCUGAAGCAUUCUUUCUAGUUUAUUUCACACUAAUAAAAUCCAACCUGAAGGAUUUUAUAUGUUGGCUCUAUGGCCGUUAGUAUUUGAUUAAGGUGUUUAGCCUCAUUAGUAAUCAAAGGAAUGAAAACUAGAAUAAAAAUUCAGUCAUUGUUUUUGGUUUAUCAAAUUGAUAAAGACUUAAAAUGGCCACCAAGCAUUGGGGAGGUUAGGAGUGAUAGGCUCUCUCCUUCUAUCUAUGGAAUAUUCCUUGGCUCACCAUGGCUGGAGAACAAUCCACAUCCAAUAGCUCAUCAAGUCUACUUCCAGGAAUGUAUUCCAGAGGAAUAGUAUGGACCUAUGCAAAAACUUGUGUACAAAAUUAUUCCUCAGAGCUUUGCUUAUUAUUGGGAAGAAUGAGUAAAGAAAUAAAUGCCCGGCCAGGCGCGGUGGCUCAUGCCUGUAAUCUCAGCACUUUGGGAGCCAAGGCGGGUAGAUCACCUGAAGUCAGGAGUUCGAGACCAGACUGGCCAACAUGGUGAAACCCCUUCUCUACUAAAAAUACAAAAAUUAGCUGGGCGUGGUGGCAGGAAUCUGUAAUCCCAGCUACUCAGGAGGCUGAGGCAGGAGAAUCUCUUGAACCUGGGAGGUGGAAGUUGCAGUGGGCCGAGAUUGUGUCAUUGCACUGCAGCCUGGGUGACAAGAGCGAAACUUCGUCUAAAAAAAAAAGAAAAAAAAAAAAGAAAGAAAGAAAUGCCCCGAAACAGGUUAAUAAAUUUAAAAGUAUUAUGCCAGGAAGGGAACAGUAGCAGUCCACUAUGCCUAGAAACUAAGCCUAGUAACUUAGAAAAAAAAAUCUUCCAAGUGUUUUAGGUAAGUUAGUAUUAAUAAUUCUACCCAAGGUCAAUCCCCUCCCCUCCAUUUCCUCCUCUUCAGAUAUUCUGUGCUUCUGCCAAAUAGGACAACUUGCUAUUUGUGUCCUGAACUGACCUUAUACACUUUCUUGCCUCUCUGCCUUUGCUCGUGCUUUCCCACUGUCUCAAUGGCUUUCCUUAAUCUCUGAGGUCUCACCUCUUCAAGACCCAAUUGUGUAAGCCACCUUACAUAAUGUUAUUAUGAUGUCCCCCUUCCUCAUCCAGCCAGAAGGAUUUACUUCCUUCUCUGUAUGCUCAUAGCAAUUUGUUCAUUUUCUAUUCUUCUCACCCUUGUCCUGUGUUAGAGUUACCGAAAUAUAUGUAUAUGUGUGUGUAUAUAUUUUUUGUCUUGUUUUGUUCCUGUUAGAUUUUGAACAACUUGAGGGCAGGGGCCAAUCUUGUUCAGAUUUAUACCCCCCAGAGUUAUAAAGCAUGCUGUGAAAAUGAUUGUUGACUGAAUAAGCGAGUGAGUGAAUGCAAAAGUACACUUGGAGCCAAAUGCUUAUAUUCUCUGCAGACAUGGAAUAAACUUGACAAGUGCUAAAGAUGCUCUUUGAUUUUUGUGUGGCAUGAGACCUCAGGCUGAAACUUCUCAUCUGAGCCAUUGAAGGGAGCCUCUCAUCUCUCCACCGAGAGGGGAGACCAGAAUGCUCUGUUUCUGGCAGGAAUCUGACACCACUUACUCCUUGGGUAGAAACUCCCCCAAGUCUGAACUAUGUGAUUGCCUGAGCCCUGCUUCUUGUUCAUUAAGACUGCUCCUCUGAAACGGAAUUGAUGAAUUUUUAGUGGCUAUUAGAAGCAUUUGGGAUCCAUAGGCAUCAGGGUUUGAUGCAUGGCCCUCAUCUCUGUGGGCUCCUGUGCAAUGAUUCUCAUCUGUCUUAGUUAGAAAGUGAAUUAAUCUUGACCUUGGCCUCAGGGGUGUGGUUCUCUGCCCUCUUACACAUCUUCAAUUCGCUUCUUUAUCAGAAGCACUUGUUUUAGGCCCAGGCUCCCCCAAUUUUAAUGACAUUUAGACAUUUGUCUUUAAGUUACAUUGCUUUGAUUUUAAUCAAAAUCUAUAUUUCUAGUAUUAUAUGUUUCCAGAAAGUUCUCAUUCUGGAUUGUAAUUUAAUUACAUGGAUCAUUAAAGCUUUGAAGGAUGCUAAUGGGCAGAAAAAAGAGACUUAACAAAACGAAAGUUAUUAUUAGGAAUUACAAAUCACUUAACAUUUCAACAUCACUCGUCGGAUGUGGGCAUUUUGUUGAAAGAGACCUUGUUUUGAACAGUGACAGUGCAGAAGACCUAUGGAAGAAACAAGCUUCCAACUUGAUUUCUAUUGUUAUGCAUGCAUAGCAAAUUAUUAAUUCUAUUCUAAUAGGGUAAUAGAUUUAGAAAUACUAUUAGCAGAAAACUUGAUGUAUUAGGCAAUACUACAUACCACAUUAGUCUAACCGCUCAACUGUAAUUUUUCAUCCAUACUUUCUUGGGAUGUAAAUAAAAUUGAUAUUAUACAAUGAAAAUAAAAUUGCCCACUAGUCUUGCUUAUUCUCUUGGUGGGCUGAAGAGUUAAACUGUGGUGAAUGCUGUUAGAUAGGAAGGUAAUGAAAACUUCAGUUAGCUUAGGAUUAUUCUUACCAGCAAGCAUUAGUUAAAAGUUAAAUUUAGCAAGUGGUUACCCAAAUGUUAAAGGCAUUUAAACUGGCUGGGCACAGUGAGUGGCUCACGCCUGUAAUCCUAGCACUUUGGGAGGCCGAGGCGGGUGGAUCAUAUGAAGUCGGGAGUUCAAGACCAGCCUGGACAACAUGGUGAAACCCCGUCUCUACUAAAAAUACAAAAAAUUAGCUAGGCGUGGUGGCAGGCGCCUGUAAUCCAGCUACUUGGGAGGCUGAGGCAGGAGAAUCACUUGAACCUGGGAGGCAGAGGUUGCGGUGAGUCGAGAUUGUGCCACUGCACUCCAGCCUGGGCAACAGAGUGAGACUCCCUCUCAAAAAAAAAAGUAUUUGAACCAUUCUUUCUGUGCUGCAUAAGGUAUUAAUAAUAAAACAUUACAUGACUGCAUGUAUAAUUCUACCUAAUUGAAUUGAGUUUUCAAAUUAUUUUUUGUGUGUGUCUUAGACAGUGGCGCAUUGAAAGUACUGCCUGUCCAAAAUCAGGAACAGAAAAGUAUUUCAAUUACUCAGAAAGUAGACAUGGCUGGAAAAUCAUAAGUAAGUGGUUAUUAAUGUCAAGUUUAAAGCUCUCAGGCUCUUCUGUCAGGCCACGCAGGGCAAAUGAGAUCAACAGGAUGGUUUCUUGUUUUUUUUUGAGACGGAGUCUUGCUCAUUGCCCAGGCUGGAGUGAGAGCAGCGGCACGGUCUCGGCUCACUGAAACCUCCUCCGCCUCCUGGGUUCAAGCAAUUCUCCUGCCUCAGCCUCCUAAGCAGCUGGGAUUAUAGGCAAGAGCCACCACGCCCGACUAAUUUUUAUAUUUUUAGUAGAGAUGGGGUUUCACCAUGUUGGCCAGGCUGGUCUUGAACUCCUGGUCUAAAGUGAUCCACCCUUCUUGGCCUCUCAAAGUGCUGAGGUUAUAGGCGUGAGUCACUGUGCCUGGCCCAACAGAAUGGUUUCUAAUAAAAAUAUUUAUUACCAUUGCAUCCUACCCCAUUCCCACUCAGUGUGCCCCUUACUUAAAUGGCCGCCUUCACCCAGGCCACUACAGGGAGGGCACUGACUUGGAAGGACAGAACACUCACCACUACCUAGCCUUCACCCUGGUCAUCAGUUGCACUUGAUAUGGCUAUAGCUGGUAUAUUUCUAUAAUGAUGGGAAUCAUAGAAAUUGUUAGUAUUGAGUUGCAAGUCAUUGGUAAUGUUUUCCAAGGAAUGACCAAGUUCUGUGAUAAUAUAUGCACAGACAGGAAAAAAUACAAAUAAAUUUAACAGCACAUAUAAAAAUACUAUCACCUUAUACUGUUCAUUUUGUGCCAUCCAGGCAUGUAAGGGAGAGAGAAAUAAGAUAAAUUUGCUGGUGGGAGAAGCAAGCAAAUAGAGAGAAGUUUAGAGGCAAAGAAUUUGGGAGGGGCUGGUGAAAAAGAAGGGGAAGGAGGAAGUACAACC
rnacentral:lncRNA from 1 species